rnacentral:rRNA from 1 species
GUCUUCAUGUAUUUAUUUAUGAAGUUUGGCCUGCCCACUGAUAAAAUUUAAAGGGCCGCGGUAUAUUGACCGUGCAAAGGUAGCAUAAUCAUUAGUCUUUUAAUUGGGGGCUUGUAUGAAGGGUCGUACAAGAAACAAUCUGUCUUAACAUAAUUUAUUGAAUUUAACUUUUAAGUAAAAAGGCUUAAAUAAAUUAAAGUGACGAUAAGACCCUAUAAAACUUUAUAAAUGUAGUUAAAAUUAUAUAUUGGUUGUUUAAAAUUUUUUUAAUAAAUUUUAUUUUAUUGGGGCGAUAAAAAUAUAAAAGGUAGCUGUUUUGUUAUUAAAAUGAUUAUUAUCAAAGAUUAAUUUGUUCCUUUAAUAGAGAUUAUAAGAUUAAGUUACUUUAGGGAUAACAGCGUAAUUUUCUUUAAGAGUUCUUAUCUACAAGAAGGAUUGCGACCUCGAUGUUGAAUUAAAAUUUCUUUAAGGUGUAGCAGCUUUAAUGGAAGGUCUGUUCGACCUUUAAAUUUUU